CUGAUCCUAGGCCAUGGGGCCCAGAAAUGGGGAUGGAGUGCCGGGGCAGAUGCACCAUCCAACUGAGUGUGCCCCAGAGUCACACGGCUUCUCCCCACAGGACUGGAUCGACCUUGUGGUUGCCGUCUGCCCCCCAAAGGAGUAUGACGAUGAGCUGACCUUCUUCUGAAGUCCAAAAGGGGAAACCAAAUUCACCGUUAGGAAACAGUGAGCUCCGGCCCCACCUCGUGAACACAAAGCCUCGGAUCAGCCUUGAGAGAGGCCACACUACACACACCAGAUGGCAUCCUUGGGACCUGAAUCUAUCACCCAGGAAUCUCAAACUCCCUUUGGCCCUGAACCAGGGCCAGAUAAGGAACAGCUCGGGCCAC
rnacentral:lncRNA from 1 species